GAUGAAGAACGCAGCGAAAUGCGAUAAGUAGUGUGAAUUGCAGAAUUCAGUGAAUCAUCGAAUCUUUGAACGCACAUUGCGCCCUUUGGUAUUCCUUAGGGCAUGCCUGUUCGAGCGUCAUUUAAACCUUCAAGCUCAGCUUGGUGUUGGGUGACUGUCCGCCUCACCGCGGACUCGCCUCAAAAUUAUUGGCGGCCGGUACAUUGGCUUCGAGCGCAGCAGAAACGCGAACUCGGGCCCGUCGUAUUGGCUCCCAGAAGCUAUCUUCACAAUUUUGACCUCGGAUCAGGUAGGGAUACCCGCUGAACUUAAGCAUAUCAAUAAGCGGAGGA
rnacentral:misc_RNA from 1 species